rnacentral:misc_RNA from 1 species
GAUGAAGAACGCAGCGAAAUGCGAUAAGUAAUGUGAAUUGCAGAAUUCAGUGAAUCAUCGAAUCUUUGAACGCACAUUGCGCCCGCCAGUAUUCUGGCGGGCAUGCCUGUUCGAGCGUCAUUUCAACCAUCAAGCCCCCGGCUUGUGUUGGGGACCUGCGGCUGCCGCAGGCCCUGAAAAGCAGUGGCGGGCUCGCUGUCACACCGAGCGUAGUAGCAUACAUCUCGCUCUGGGCGUGCUGCGGGUUCCGGCCGUUAAACCACCUUCAUAACCCAAGGUUGACCUCGGAUCAGGUAGGAGGACCCGCUGAACUUAAGCAUAUCAAUAAGCGGAGGA